UACAGAGACUGCGAGCGUUAUUCGGAUUCACUGGGCGUAAAGGGUGCGCAGGCGGCCGUGUGUGUGAGGCGUGAAAGCCCGGGGCUCAACUCCGGAAUUGCCUUUAAGACUGCAUCGCUAGAAUUGUGGAGAGGUAAGUGGAAUUCCGAGUGUAGAGGUGAAAUUCGUAGAUAUUCGGAAGAACACCAGUGGCGAAGGCGACUUACUGGACACAUAUUGACGCUGAGGUGCGAAAGCGUGGGGAGCAAACAGG
rnacentral:rRNA from 1 species